rnacentral:rRNA from 1 species
CAGUCGCCGCGGUAAUACGAAGGGUGCAAGCGUUGUCCGGAAUCAUUGGGCGUAAAGAGCGUGUAGGCGGACUGGAAGGUCUGGUGUGAAAGCCCGGGGCUCAACCCCGGAGGGUCACUGGAAACCAACAGUCUUGAAUCUGGAAGAGGAGAGUGGAAUUCCUGGUGUAGCGGUGGAAUGCGCAGAUAUCAGGAGGAACACCAAUGGCGAAGGCAGCUCUCUGGUACAUGAUUGACGCUGAGACGCGAAAGCGUGGGGAGCGAACAGGAUUAGAUACCCCCGUAGUCCCUGUCUCUUAUAC